GUCAUAAUGUUACUAAUGCGAUCUAUAACUUAUGUUUCUCAAACAGGCAACGAUUACAUUGUUAAUAAUACACUGGUGACUUGGAAUGAGGCCAAAACCAGCUGUGAAAACAAAAAUUCAGCUCUGGCACAAAUCCUUGAUGUGAAAACAUUUGAUAAAGUCAGGAGUGUAUUUCAAAAUAAUCAUCUUAACCCAUUUGAAGCACUGUGGAUUGGCCUUAGUUUUUCUCCAGCCUGGUUUUGGUCAGAAACCAAACAAAUCAGCACAUUCAUGAACUGGCAAACAGGGCAACCUAACAAUGAGAAUAAUUGUGCUGCUGUAUUGGUGGAAAAUGGAACGUGGACCACCGAACCAUGCAAUGAACAAUAUCCUUUCUUCUGCUAUGGAGUUUACAAAUCAAAGAAAACAGUGGUGAGCAUGAAUAUCCAAACUGAUGCCGACCUGGAAAAUCCAGAUAACCAGGCUGCGCUGAUGGAGCAGCUGCAAGCAGCACUCACUAAGCAGGGUGUGACUGACUUCAAACUGAAAUGGACGAAACAGCCUGUGCAAAAGAGCAGGAAGAAAAUUGAUGGUACACACACACACACACACACACACACACACACACACACACACACAUACAGAAUGAGUUUUCUCUGAAUAUUUAAAUGGUUUUAUCUCAUUUCAGAUGCUUGUUUGAAUGUGUGAGAUCAAGUCCCAGAAGACUGUGCUACAACACUGUUCAUUUAAAGAAGGAUUACUUUAAAUUGUUCACUCAUCAAGUUUGCUAUUAGUUCAUUAUAUUAGUCUAGGUAUAAAACUACAUAUUUUGUGUGCAUCGUGUGAAUUGGAAACAUUCAAAUUUUCUCAUUUCAGUUUUGCAUUUAAAUGUUUGACACCACAGUGUAACUUUGAGGUAAUACAUCAGGGAUCCAUUUCAUUCCCCCAAGGCAUCAAAUAAUGCUGUUUUGUUAAACCUGCUGGUGUAUGUCAGUUGUUCGCAAAGUGCCUGUUUAGAGAGAAAUGUGAUGCAUCAAUUUAUUGGAUUACUGACACUUGGUUGUCAGUCCCAACCUUUCAGCAUGUAUGGUUCCAUACAGUUGCGAGUGUAGAAAUUUAGAUCAACAGAUAAACUGACAGCUUUGCUUUCACAUUAUUCUCUUCUGUAGAUGCAGCACCAGUACAUCUGUCAAUCUCCAGCUACACUCUCUCCUCACUUGUUAAAAACCCCAAUUCUCCAUUUAAAUUCUCCAGUUACAAUGAAUAUUGUUAUCAUUAUUUUUUCCAUAGAUAACAAUGUUGUUACUGUACAUCCUCAUGAAAACAUAAAUAGGUUAUCAGGUAUGAGUUAAAAUGCAUUCUUUACACACUAAGAUGAUUAUUCAUCUUAAAUCUUCCCUACUGUAAAAUCCUAUUAAAAGUUGAAAUAACCUG
rnacentral:lncRNA from 1 species